GUACCAAAUAAGUAAAUAGGUAAUAAUAACACUAAGGAGGUUUUUUAGUAGAGUGAGCAAAAAAGAUGAGGUUUGGAAGAAAAGGCAGUGUGUGAGACGAUUACUGAAUGACAAAAGAGGUUAGAAUAUUUAAAGGUGUGAAUGAAAUAAAGGUGUAUUGUUUUUAGAUUAAGAUUUAGUAGAAUUAAAGAGGGUCUGUAGAUUAUAAAUACAAAGAAAAAACAAAAGAGUUAGAUUAGUUUGAAGAAACAGGAAAUAUGGCUCUGUGUGCCUGCUGUGUGAGAGGAAGUGGUGGUUGUGAGAGGCCCAUAAAAGGUACUCACUGUGACAAGUGUGCACCCAGAGAAGAGAGACAGAAUCGGGAGGAAAACAGGCCAGCAUUUGGCUUAAAAUUUGACAGCUUCACCUCUCAUUGUCUCCUUAUCCUGAGAAGGAGCUUAAAGAACAGUCAAUCUCCUGAUGAAGACCGACAGAACAUCGUGGACUUGAAUACCGCAGGCAAACGACAGUGCCCCUGAUCCAUUAACACUGAUGACGACUGACGACCAGCAGCAGCAUGUAAGAAAAGCGAGUAAUGCAACAUGUACUGUGAAUUACAGGCUGGGCAGUUGAACAGUGGGAUAAAGAAUUGUGGAAGAGCACUGGACAUUGAGUGUCAUAUUUGCCAUGCUUGGAGUAAUUUUGGAAGAGAAGACUGCAGAAGAAAAAGAGAAGGAACAGGACACUGUGAAGGAGGGGGACCAGUGUCAGGUGAAGCUGGACGAGUUUGACUGCGAGAAUAUAGGAUAUAAUUGGAUUGGAAAAAUUGAAGCCACAACUCAUGAUUGUUUAGGGAUGUCCACCAUAUCACGUUUAAAAGAGGUAAACACAAAAUGAAAACACACAUACACAAAUUGGUACAUGUGAGAUUAUUAUUGAAAUGAAUUAGAAGUGAGAUAGUUUGAAUUUAGAACUCAGUGAUAAGAUGCAUGAAUUAAACCUUAUUGAAACAAACACUUGCAAUGAAGAAAGCAGCUUACACUCAAUUAAUAUGAACGCAAAGCCUUGGUGCCAUAGGCAAUUUGUUUUUGUUUUUUUAUGAGCUGUAAGCAAUGCAAAGUUUUUCCUUAACUUAAAAGUUUGAAAUAUGUAAGAUGUAUGAAUUCUUUGAGAAAUAGGAAUUGCCUAAAAUGCCCUAAGUCAAAAUGUAGUGUUGCAUCUACAAAGAAGAAAGCAGAAGAAGCAUUCAGUAACUUGAAACUGGCAUUACAGACAAAUACAGUUUUGGCUUUGCCUGAUUAUGAUAAGCCUUUCUGCUUACACGUAGAUGGACGUGCAGGCCUGUGCAGCCGCAGCAGAAGCAGUAAGCAAGUCAGCUGACAUUGCUUUAGGGCACAAUUUAAUCAUCAGAAUACCCAAAAUAAUAUGAUUUGAUGACUUGUGAAGGUAAACCGAUACUCCCAAGUCCCUGUGCAGAACAGCAGCAUUAGUGACACAUGGGGUGACCCAUGUGUCCUCAGGGGGGGAUAGUCCAGGUCCUUAAUACACACUUUUAUACUUUAGUGAUUAUAGACGUAUUCUCAAAAUGGCCAGAGAUUUAUCCAGUGGAAAAAGCAGAUGCAAUCUCAGUUGCAAAAUGUUUAUGCAAUUAUUCUGGCCUGAAUGGCCUGAGUGCAUAGGCCUAGUAAAAAUGUGGAUGAAAUUAAUACAAGGCUCUCAAAACUGACAUUAUUUGAGGUUGUUCAUGGGAGACCUUUUCCACUCCCAGUGAAAAGUGAACCUUUAGAAAAUCCAUCAGAGAAACAACUCUGGCAGAAUGGAUGGCAAAACUACUAGAAAAUAAGGAUAUUGUUUUGAACAAUAAACUGCCGUAAGACUCUCCAGUCUCUUGCAGGUUGAAACCAAGUGUUAUUGACAACACCCACAGCCUGUAAAAUUGCAGAGAGACCAUCUUGGAUACAUCAGAGCCACUGCAAAGGUUGAGGUCCCGGAAGCCCCGACACCGAGGAGGAAGCGCCUACGCUUGGUUUUUUCGGGGGUGAGGGUGGUAAGUGCGUUCUUGGGGCCCCCGUAGGGUAAGCCCGCACUCCAAUCUCUAUCCGAUCAACUUUAGGCAGCCAGGUGUAGGUGUGCUCACCCUUACAGGACCCCAGCCGAUGCCAAUAGCAGCCGAGCCACAAGGCAGACAGAGAAGAUGGACGCACGACAACUUACACCUAAUGGACAGGACACAAGAUCACAUCCAUCCUUGGAUGAAAAAUGCCUGAUACAGAUAUGUGUUUAACAAGACCACAGAGAAAGACUGUUAUGUUUGCUCGCACAUGCCGAGCAUAUUAACACAACAACAACAACAACAACAACAUCGUCAUCCUGAUCCAGGAAGAAGCCCUCAACUUUAACAAGUUUAAAGAGACUGUUGAUCGUCAUUGAAUUUUUCUUGAUUUUAUUUUGCUUUUCUUUACUUAUGUUAUUCUUUGUUUAAAGCUGUAAUUUCACAGAUGACAAGUUUGUCAUUCACAGCAUACGCAGAUGUACUGAAAUUUAUGAAGAUCAUGAAGACUUUUUUCCUAUUUGUUUCAUGAAGAUGAAGUGCUAAUGAUGUAGUAACUAAGAAUGUGAAAGACAAGUAGUUACUUAUUGUACAUUUCAUUUCUCUGAUAAACAGGGCGGAAUGUCAAGAGAUUGUAUAUAUGUGUAUAUAUGUGAUCAGCUACAUGAAAUGUAUCCUUUCAUUAUUUGUCAUUAAGCAUAUUUCUACAUGACUUUUUACCUAGUAACUUGUGUGCUGAACUUAUGCAGAUACUAACCGCAUCCUGUCGUUCUGAACAUUUAGAUGUAGAGAAGACCAAGCUCAGCUCUUUUACGAGAACAUACAGAUAGAGAAAAGGGGAAAACCCGCUGCCUUGACUGAUGUUAUCUACACACACACACACACACACACACACACACACAAAACAUCUUGUAUAAAUAAAGGACGCGGACAGUCGUGGGGCGCAGUUCGUGCGUUCUAUGACUGCCCCUCGCGAGUGAAAAACUUCUGCAGUGUUUGUGUGUUUUCUGAACUCAGACGUCUCAACUGAAGAACGGCAGGGUGAUUUAAAGAAAUCCCCUGUCAGUUUUCAU
ensembl:lncRNA